CUUUCUUACACCGAAUGCUUGCAUUCACCGUAAGAAGUUGAGUGGCGGACGGGUGAGUAACACGUGGGUAACCUGCCUAAAUGAGGGGGAUAACACUUGGAAACAGGUGCUAAUACCGUAUAUCUCUAAGGAUCGCAUGAUUCUUAGAUGAAAGAUGGUUCUGCUAUCGCUUUUAGAUGGACCCGCGGCGUAUUAACUAGUUGGUGGGGUAACGGCCUACCAAGGUGAUGAUACGUAGCCGAACUGAGAGGUUGAUCGGCCACAUUGGGACUGAGACACGGCCCAAACUCCUACGGGAGGCAGCAGUAGGGAAUCUUCCACAAUGGACGCAAGUCUGAUGGAGCAACGCCGCGUGAGUGAAGAAGGUCUUCGGAUCGUAAAACUCUGUUGUUAGAGAAGAACACGAGUGAGAGUAACUGUUCAUUCGAUGACGGUAUCUAACCAGCAAGUCACGGCUAACUACGUGCCAGCAGCCGCGGUAAUACGUAGGUGGCAAGCGUUGUCCGGAUUUAUUGGGCGUAAAGGGAACGCAGGCGGUCUUUUAAGUCUGAUGUGAAAGCCUUCGGCUUAACCGGAGUAGUGCAUUGGAAACUGGAAGACUUGAGUGCAGAAGAGGAGAGUGGAACUCCAUGUGUAGCGGUGAAAUGCGUAGAUAUAUGGAAGAACACCAGUGGCGAAAGCGGCUCUCUGGUCUGUAACUGACGCUGAGGUUC
rnacentral:rRNA from 1 species